CAAAAUGAAUAUUUCCUCUUGAAAUUCCCAAUCUGUAAUCAAUGUAAUGUGACGCGCAUUAUCUUUGUUUAACGAUGUGUGCGAAAUCAAUCAUGAUUAUAUAUGUAUAGUUGUUCAAAAUUAUUUUCAUCCAAGUAUCUCCUCUCAUUUAACGAUGGAAUAGUGAAGAGACUUGAUCUUUCCAAGCGUUUCCAUCAUUUAAUAAAUCUCAAUAUUUUCUUUUUUUUCUUCUUUUCUCUAAUUAAGUAUUUAUAUAUUUUAAAUAUUUGUAUAGUGAAAUUGUAUUUUUUAUAAAUAAAAAAAAUGAACGAAUUAGCGAGAUACUCGUUGAAAGAAGUUGCGACACGAGAUGGAAAAGAAGAAACGAGAGUGUGGAUCGUUAUUUACGAUAUGGUUUAUGACGUGACGGAUUACAAGGAUGAGCAUCCUGGUGGGCCAGAAUUGAUCGAAGAAUAUGCAGGACAAGAUGCAACACGUGGUUUUGAUGAGUUUGGUCAUAGUACAGAUGCAAAACGUAUACUAAAGAAAUAUCUUGUGGGUGAAUUAAUAGAGGAAGACAAAAUAAGAAAUAGAAGAAAAAAGAAUGAAAUCUCUAUAGAGGAAAAAGGUAGAAAAAGAAGCUUAUCUAAAUCUGAUAUAAAUUAAUAAUCUAUUCUACUCACAUAACGUGAUGAUAAUACGUACGAUCAGAGAUCUAGUUUGACGACCAGCCUUGCCACACGACAAGACUUUGUUAAACGUUUUGGAAGUUGGGAUCAUGUUAAAUGGGGGAGGCACGGUGUCGCCAUCUUCGAAGUAACUCAUCCACAAGUGGCUCCUGGCAAAUUUCCAUUCCGUAUCGGAUCUUUCCUAUUCGUAUGCGCAUUGUAUUAACGAAUUCGAUAAUUAUUUCGCUACUGAAAAAUUCAUGAAUGAAAAUAUACUUUACUACUUUAUCGUACCGAGAUUAUUUGAUAGGAGUUGGACAUCAUAGCGAUAAGCAUGUUUAGUAAGACGAUCACAUUUAUCACGGAAUAAGAGCCGAACAUGAGCAACGCCCAGAAUCUGGUGAAACUUUUUAUUCCAGUUAGAUCAAACGACAUUAGAUCAACCAUACCGAAACUGGCCCAGAAAAGCGAUUGUGAUGUCUCGAACAAGCUGAAGAUAAUUAUUUAUAGAUUAAUUUCCUAAAUAAUAUUUUUUAGCAAAGAGUACAAUCGAAUAAUCGUCAUAUACUUGGCGAAACGUCUCCAUAUCGAGCAAGCUUUCUCCUGAUUAUCGAAGUCGGGCAGAUCUGGAAAAUCUUUUAUGUUAUAGCACUUUUGUUUCUCCAGAUCCGCGUAGUACCACAUCAGUUGAUUCAUUCCUGAAUUUUGCAAGAAAAAAGAAAUGAUUGAAAAAAAACGAUAAGUAUAAAAAAUAUAUGGAAUUUUCAGAAGAAUGAAAACUAUUGAAACAAUAAUUGUUGAAUUUUUUUACCAAAUGUUGUGUUUAAUAUCUUGCUAAGUAAGAAGCUAAAUAAAUAAAUGGCAGGGAACUCACCACAUCCAAAGGCGAACAAUACUAGAGUAUAGAUGAAGAAGAACUUGAUAAUGUCUAUUAUCAUCCUCCCAAGGGAAAUUUGAAGUGGUCCGAGAUGGGGGUUCACGCUGAAUAUGUGAACUAACUUUAAAAAACUAGAAAAAGAAAAAGACGGAUAUUUUCGUCUCAAAGUGAAAUUUUUAUGAUGAAUUAUCACGAACGAAGAAAUUUGGAUAACUUUGCAUUACCUGAAAAUCAUCCCAGCGGCGAAAGCUCCCUCGGACAAAAGCAUGGGAUCGAAGGCGUGCCAUUGAUCUCUGGGAUACCAAGGGUCCAACCCAUUUCUAUACUCUUUCUAUCGGGUGAACGAUCGAAUCAAACGAUUGCUAUCAUGCCAAUCGAAAGUUAGAAAUUUAAGAAAAAGAAAAAGAAUGUAUACUUGGACGAUAAUCCACGCAGUUAUUCUCAACAUAAUCCAAAUCACGUAAAACAUAUUUUGAACGAAAUCCACUAUAUUCCAAAGAUCCGAUAUAUACUCCAUCAAUCCGUCCGACCAUAAUGAUCUUAUUUCUCCAAGGAUCAAGCCUGAAAGAUUUAAUCUGCUUUAAAAAAAAUUUAUGUUAUACAGUGUGUGUGAUUUUUUCUCGGAAAAAAAUAUAAAUGAAAAUUAUAUAAAAAAUUGUUUGAAAUGAAAACUUGUUGUAUCGAAAAGCAUGUAAUUCCAAAUUUUUAUUUGCAAUUGAAAGGAUUUAUCAAGACACUUUAUUAAUGAAUAUUGUAUCAAUGAUAAAUAAAAUGGAAAAUAGGA